AGCUCCAAUAGCGUAUAUUAAAGUUGUUGCAGUUAAAAAGCUCGUAGUUGGAUUUCUGGUGCGAUGCACCUGCCCCGCUCUUUGUUGAGUGUGCGUCGGGUCGCGUCCAUCAUCCUCCCAGGGAACGUAUCUGCUCUUCGUUGAGUCUGGUACGCAAACUGGGGCAUUUACUUUGAAAAAAUUAGAGUGUUUAAAGCAGGCUAUUGCUAUGAAUACAUUAGCAUGGAAUAAUAACUUAGGACUUCGGUUCUAUUUUGUUGGUUUUCAGAAUUGAAGUAAUGAUUGAUAGGGAUAGUUGGGGGUGCUAGUAUUGUGCGGCCAGAGGUGAAAUUCUUGGAUUCGCGCAAGACUAACUUAUGCGAAAGCAUUCACCAAGGAUGUCUUCUUUAAUCAAGAACGA
rnacentral:rRNA from 1 species